AACGAACGCUGGCGGCAGGCUUAACACAUGCAAGUCGAGCGAGGCGUAAUAGUCGAGCGGCGAACGGGUGCGUAAUACAUGGGAAUCUACCUUGAAGUGGGGGAUAACGUCAGGAAACUGACGCUAAUACCGCAUAACCCAUAUUGGGAAAGCGUUGCAGCGCUUCAAGAUGAGCCCAUGGCUGAUUAGCUAGUUGGUGAGGUAACGGCUCACCAAGGCGACGAUCAGUAGCUGGUCUGAGAGGAUGAUCAGCCACACUGGAACUGAGACACGGUCCAGACCCCUACGGGAGGGAGCAGUGGGGAAGCUUGCGCAAUGGGCGAAAGCCUGAUGCAGCGACGCCGCGUGGGUGAUGAAGGCCUUCGGGUUGUAAAGCUCUGUGGGGAGAGACGAAUAAGACGUGGCUAAUAUCCACGGCGAUGACGGUAUCUCCUUAGCAAGCACCGGCUAACUCUGUGCCAGCAGCCGCGGUAAGAC
rnacentral:rRNA from 1 species